UACAUUUUCUGUGAAAAUAAACACUCUUUUCUAAACCAAGGCUUAACCUGUGCAUGCACUAUCUCUGUACUCUGUACUCUGUUCUCUGUACCCCUGACUAGAGCUUGCUCUAGAUGGAUAAGUCAUACCUGUUAAGCCUGAUUUUUCACAUACAGUAAAACAUAUAUACAUAUACAGAUCAUGUACAAAACAUACAUCACUAAGUCAAGCACAUUUCUACCUUUAUACACAACUUUAAUAUUACAUGUCCACUCUAAGCUAUUACAAAUCUCUUUACUCUUUCUGUACUCUGCUGGACUGUCCAUGUACACUGUACACUGAAAUCCUGCAAGACUGGGAUUAAGGGAGUGGGAUGAGCUCUAUAGCCCAGUGAGUAGAAUAACAAAAUCAGUCAUAACAUAUGAUCUCAUGGAAUGCGUCAUAACACAGACAAGCCACAUCAAGAGUAAACCUGUCAGGGCGUAGUCAAAGGCUCCUGGUCUUUACUAUACCUGCCAGGGCGUAGUCAAAGGCUCCUGGUCUUAGCUCAGAGACUAUUGGAUCAUUCA
rnacentral:lncRNA from 1 species